CCGUCGUGCUCCCAUUCGCCCCCUUCUCUCUGCACUUCCUCUCCUCUCGCCGCCGCCGCCCCGUCCUCCUCGAUUUGCCGCCACGUUCUUCAGGUGGCUUUCCUCUCGCUUACCGUCGAUGCUGCCGCAGCCGCCUCUCUCGCUACUGCUGCCAAGACGAGGCCGCCGUCGAGCUUGCUCCUCGUCAUCCCUGGGAGGGCGUCGACGAGCUCGGUGAGCGCCAAGCCGUCAUCCUCGCGUCGACCUGCCCCUCCCGGUGUGCUUGGCAGCCUGAGGACUUGAGCGUGGCGUCCACGUUGGACCGCUGUGGGCUCAAGCGGCCCUUCCCGCCGCCGUCGCUGGCAAGCACAUCCGCGCGCUCAUGGGGCGGCGGCACGGCUCCGUCAAGCCCAAUGAGGCAUCCAUCCUCGAGGGCGGCGAGCCGGAGCUGGGCCUGGACAAGGGAUUCAGUUUCUCCAAGCACUUCUUCGCCAAGUACGAGCUCGGCGAGGAGGCCAGCUGCGGUCACUUUGGAUACACCUGCGCCGCCAAGGCCAAGAAGGGCGAGCACAAGGGCCAGGGCGUCGCCGUCAAGGUCAUUCCCAAGGCCAAGGCAUAUCCGUCUGAAUGAUGAUGUCAUAUUGCAGUUUGGAUCGAAAGGUGCUCGAUGAUUCGCUUCAUAGGACCACUGCUGCUCGGAUUGAUUUCGUUGUUACACAGGUGUUUUGCUAAUCGCGUUUGUCAAGAUUGUUCUUUGCACUGACUUUCAUAUGCAAGAAGCAUACAAUGCUAAUAUGGAAUAUUAUGCUUUCAAGUUUCAUGGUACUUCCCAUUUCUUCUUCUCAACACAACUUUGCUAAUCCGAGAAAAAAUCACGAAGCCUUGGUUCCCAUAUUAUUUUCUGUUUCGUGUGUGUUUAUUGUAUGAUUGAUUAUAUCCAUUUCUAAUAGGGAUAAUAUGUUGAUGCUAGAGGUUAAACUCUAAAAUCUGACAAGGGCACUGUGUUCAGGAUGUGGUUGAGAGAAUAGUAGUUGGCGUGAAUUUAGAGCAUUUAUGUUUUAACAAGCAAAGGGGACGAGUGCAAGAAAUUUGAGCCACUGAUCUCAUUAUGUAUGCAUUACAUAUAUGCUUGUUUUCAUUAUUGUAAGAAGCACAUCAAUUGACAUGCUUUCAGAACUUAAAUUGCGAAAAAAAUCCUGGCUAGCUGUUUGAAGCAAUUGUUGUUAAGUUCAAAUACGUGGAUUUUCCUUUUAUUUUAAGAAGCAUUUACCCUUUCUACUUGACUGUAUAUAUGUGCUCUCACAAUGUUUGCAAAUGCAUAUGGUGUCGAGUGUACAGCCAUACACGCGAGUCAUUUCACCAUUUUGCAUCACUCUGAUAUUGAUAUCGUUUGUCUUGAAUAUAUCGCCAUAUAGUAUUCAGAGAUGAUCGAGCAGGUUGACCGUGGUGUAAAACAUACUCACCCUGACAUGCAUUUCUUCUGUGGAAACACUUCUUUUGCAAAAUCCAAUCAGGUAAAUCUCCAGUAUAUAAGUGUAGAUAGUGUUCAACUAGGAUACAUGACUGAUCAUUUGUGAUUGUGACCAGGAUUCUCUGAGAAAUAUAUUAAUUAUCUUCGCCAAGCUGAAUACUGGGAUAAAGUCAUUUGUGUCUACCACUUCCAUAUUUUCUUGAGGAGAUUAUGUUGAUAUAUUUAGGGUAGUCAUUCCAGGUUGGGGUUGGAGGGCGGUAAAAGGAGCAUGUUAUCAUAGCAUUGGCGGUGGCUCAUCUUGGGUUACUCCGUCGUCCUAUAAGGUCGCCGACAGACUAUCAGAUCUCUAGGAGGUGGUGCUGGGUGGUGAUGUCACUUAGUUGGAAACUUGCUGGGUCGUAUUCUGAAUAAUAGUGCAAGGUACCUUGAGUAAAUGAUCUGCAAAUCAGUGCAUCUGGAACGCUAGGAUGUGUGGGGACAAAAAGCUUUACGAGGCUUGUCAGCAAUGAUUGAUGAGAUAAUUGGUUCAGCUACUUUCGUAAGAGGCGACGGGAAUCAUAAAUACCACAAUGGCUAUGAAGAUUCAACAUAUAGAAAGAUGGAAGAGCUCAGCUGAGAGUGAGCAACAGGCAGAGCUGGAUGCACAUGGGAGAUUGAAAAGAAGUUUGGUUGCAGGAUGCAUUACUAACUGUUCCGCGUAGACGAUCAGACUCUUCAAAAUAUAGCGUAAGGAAAGGUUGAUGUUUGCCAAGUUUCCUCUACCACUCUUCUUAUGCAUGAUUCCUUAUUAAGAUUCACAAAGGUGGCUAGCCCAGUAAAUGAAUCUACUUCUGGGCUGAUUCAUGUUGUCAGAAUCACACAGAGGUCAUGACUGAUUGUGCACCAGAAUCUUGAGUGUGAUUCACGUAGUUUGGUGUUUUUAUUAUGAUUAAGGCUCAGGUCUUUUGCCUGGAAGUAUUAUUAUAUUGAUUGAAUUAACUUAAUAUUAGUUCUUCAUGAUUAUUUUUGUUGGUCCAUCUAUUUUAUUGUUAUAUAGAAGACAACAAAAUGUUUGUACUUAGGAUGUGCAUAUGUGAUUUGUUUAAGUUACUAUGUGUCAAGUGAGUAGUACUUACUUAGGGAGCUAGCCCAAUGCUAUGUAAAAAGGAGAUUUAUGAGAAUUCAAUAUUGAAAGAUUUGACAUAUUUUGUCUUUCAUGUUUCUCUAUAUCUGCUACAAUGCCUGGAUUGCCAGAUGUUGGUCUCAGCUCCGAUGGAGAAAUGACAGAUCAAGGGCAUUUAAUCACUAAAGUAGUAUCGAUACCAAUGAUUGGUGAUGCUGAUAAUGGUUAUGGAAACUGUAUCAAUGUCAAGUUGAUAGCGAAAUGAUUUAUCAAUGUUGGUUUUGCUAAAAUUAUUCUUGAAGAUUAACUAUUCAUUUGAAGUAAUAAUAACCUACCUUAGUUUAUUUUUGUUCUACUUGAAAUUCAGCAAUAAAGGGAUUAUGUUAUAUCUUCUGUAUCAA